rnacentral:rRNA from 1 species
CACGUAGGGGGCAAGCGUUGUCCGGAUUUAUUGGGCGUAAAGGGCUCGUAGGCGGCUCAGUAAGUCAGGUGUGAAACCUCCAGGCUCAACCUGGAGACGCCACCUGAUACUGCUGUGGCUAGAGUCCGGUAGGGGAGCGUGGAAUUCCUGGUGUAGCGGUGAAAUGCGCAGAUAUCAGGAGGAACACCAGCGGCGAAGGCGGCGCUCUGGGCCGGAACUGACGCUGAGGAGCGAAAGCGUGGGUAGCAAACAGG